rnacentral:rRNA from 1 species
AUUGAACGCUGGCGGCAUGCCUUACACAUGCAAGUCGAACGGCAGCACGGGAGCAAUCCUGGUGGCGAGUGGCGAACGGGUGAGUAAUACAUCGGAACGUGCCCAAUCGUGGGGGAUAACGCAGCGAAAGCUGUGCUAAUACCGCAUACGAUCUACGGAUGAAAGCAGGGGAUCGCAAGACCUUGCGCGAAUGGAGCGGCCGAUGGCAGAUUAGGUAGUUGGUGAGGUAAAGGCUCACCAAGCCGUCGAUCUGUAGCUGGUCUGAGAGGACGACCAGCCACACUGGGACUGAGACACGGCCCAGACUCCUACGGGAGGCAGCAGUGGGGAAUUUUGGACAAUGGGCGAAAGCCUGAUCCAGCCAUGCCGCGUGCAGGAUGAAGGCCUUCGGGUUGUAAACUGCUUUUGUACGGAACGAAACGGCCUUUCCUAAUAAAGAGGGCUAAUGACGGUACCGUAAGAAUAAGCACCGGCUAACUACGUGCCAGCAGCCGCGGUAAUACGUAGGGUGCAAGCGUUAAUCGGAAUUACUGGGCGUAAAGCGUGCGCAGGCGGUUAUGUAAGACAGUUGUGAAAUCCCCGGGCUCAACCUGGGAACUGCAUCUGUGACUGCAUAGCUAGAGUACGGUAGAGGGGGAUGGAAUUCCGCGUGUAGCAGUGAAAUGCGUAGAUAUGCGGAGGAACACCGAUGGCGAAGGCAAUCCCCUGGACCUGUACUGACGCUCAUGCACGAAAGCGUGGGGAGCAAACAGG